rnacentral:rRNA from 1 species
GGCUCAGAGUGAACGCUGGCGGCAGGCCUAACACAUGCAAGUCGAACGGCAGCACAGGGAGCUUGCUCCUGGGUGGCGAGUGGCGGACGGGUGAGGAAUACAUCGGAAUCUGCCCUGUCGUGGGGGAUAACGUAGGGAAACUUACGCUAAUACCGCAUACGACCUUCGGGUGAAAGAGGGGGAUCGCAAGACCUCUCGCGAUUGGAUGAGCCGAUGUCGGAUUAGCUUGUUGGCGGGGUAAUGGCCCACCAAGGCGACGAUCCGUAGCUGGUCUGAGAGGAUGAUCAGCCACACUGGAACUGAGACACGGUCCAGACUCCUACGGGAGGCAGCAGUGGGGAAUAUUGGACAAUGGGCGCAAGCCUGAUCCAGCCAUGCCGCGUGAGUGAAGAAGGCCCUCGGGUUGUAAAGCUCUUUUGUCCGGAAAGAAAAGUUCCCGGUUAAUACCCGGGGAUCAUGACGGUACCGGAAGAAUAAGCACCGGCUAACUUCGUG